rnacentral:rRNA from 1 species
UACGAAGGGGGCUAGCGUUGUUCGGAAUUACUGGGCGUAAAGCGCACGUAGGCGGACUAUUAAGUCAGGGGUGAAAUCCCGGGGCUCAACCCCGGAACUGCCUUUGAUACUGGUGGUCUAGAGUCCGGAAGAGGAGAAUGGAAUUCCUGGUGUAGCGGUGAAAUGCGCAGAUAUCAGGAAGAACACCCGUGGCGAAGGCGGUUCUCUGGGACGGUACUGACGCUGAGACGCGAAAGCGUGGGGAGCGAACAGG